AGUUCUGUGAUAAUUUCUGCAAAGGAUCAGGGGAGUUUACAUGGAUAAAGCAUAAUACAACACAGUUUCAACUAUCCCGAACGUAAUUCAUAUGUAUACUUCUGCUUCCACAUUUUCUUCGUCCAUGCAGUGGUAGAGGUGAAACAUAGUGCUUCCACCUUGAAAAAAUGUUUUGUAGCACUUGAGCUAAGUCCCAAGGACAAUCAGUGACAUUAGAUGCUCUAAAUGCCACCUUGACCCUUAUUUCAUGUCAGACAUCUGCAACAUUAAUUGUGUCCCCUAAGGCUCACAUCCCUCAGCUCAUGAUAUAACAAAAAGACAUGCAAAUAAUGUUCGCCUCUGCUAAUGAAAACCAGCCCUGACCCUACAGCUCUGACAGAGGCACCCAGAUCUGCAUUCACAGAUUCUCACAUUCUGUGAUCAUUAUUGAGCCCAGAACAUCUGACAUGGAGUUGAGACUGAGCUGGGUUUUCCUCAUUGCCCUUUUAAAAGGUAUCCAGUGUGAGGUGCAGCUUGUGGAGUCAGGGGGAGGCUUGGUGCAGCCGGGGAGUUUCCUAAAACUCUCCUGUUCAGCCUCUGGAUUCACUGUCAGUGCUGCCUGGAUGAACUGGGUCCGCCAGGCUCCAGGGAAGGGGAUGGAGUGGGUUGGCACAAUUAAACACAGACCAGAUAAUUAUGCAGCAUCCUAUGUGGAUUCUGUGAAAGGCAGAUUCACCAUCUCAAGAGACGAUUCCAAAAGCAGCAUCUACCUGCAAAUGAACAGCUUAAAACCCGAAGACACGGCCAUUUAUUACUGUACUAGACAUGGCACAGUGAGAGAUCUUCAGACAAAAAUAUCUUCCUGCAGAAGUGCUCAGAACCAGCAGGGGGCGCAGAGCGCACAUGGAAAACAAGCACAUUGCAGAAACAGGUGCAGACAUAAUUGAGGAUUGCUUCUGGUGUCUCAGUUGGCAUUGCAUCUAAUGAUUUCCCAGAAUGUUCUCUGCACUUGUGGUCUGUAUAUGUCUUUAAUGUCCAUAAAAGCAGAGUUCUGUUUUUUUCCCUCAA